GACGAACGCUGGCGGCGUGCUUAACACAUGCAAGUCGAACGGAAAGGCCCUGCUUGCGGGGUACUCGAGUGGCGAACGGGUGAGUAACACGUGGGUGAUCUGCCCUGCACUUCGGGAUACGCCUGGGAAAAUGGGUCUAAUACCGGAUAGGAGCCAUUUUGAGUGUGAUGGUUGGAAAGUUUUUUCGGUGUCGGGUGAGCUCACGGCCUAUCAGCUUGUUGGUGGGGUAAUGGGCUACCGAGGCGGCGACGGGUAGCCGGCCUGAGAGGGUGGACGGCCACCCUGGGACCGGGGUACGGCCCAGGCUCCUACGGGAGGGCGCUGGGGGGAAUCUUGCACCAUGGGCGCCAGCCUGAUGCAGCGACGCCGCGGAGGGGAUGACGGCCUUCGGGUUGUAAACUCGUUUCGCUAGGGACGAAGCUUUUUGUGACGGUACCUAGAUAAGAAGCACCGGCUAACUACGUG
rnacentral:rRNA from 1 species